GCUUUAAAUCACCACUGGCAGUCACAGAGCUGACCCCUGUCUGCACCUUUCAGACACGGGUGAGGCAUUGUUUGAUGUCAGCUUUGCAGGCUCCUGCUCGGUGAUGCACGGGGGCUCUCACUGCCCACGGCCAUGAUUGGAGACAAAUGCCUAUUUCCUACCCAGUGAUCCUAAGACAACCUACAGUAGCAGUAGAUGCAGCUGAAGUGGAAAACUAAGUUAGAAGAAAAGAAGAGAAAAUAAAUGUCAUCCAUUUUGAGAAGAUACAUCCUAAACUCCAGGAGAAAAAUGGAAAUAACUAAAAGCAAGUACUUGAGAACUUUUCACCACAGAAGGUCAGUGAGCGAGUUGACAAUGAAGUAAAUCUUGUGGAGAUUGGUGUGGAGCAGCGCAGUGUGGGAAUAUUAAUCCCAGCAAUGCUCUGAACAGGAAGACACCAUGAGGUGGCAAGGACCACAGAGCCAGGUGUUCAAAGGGACAUCACCACUCUGGAGGAAACACCCACAACAGAUGAAAAAAGCAGCCUUUCAUCCCUCGUCAGUCUGUGCACAGCACCACCACACCAGGAAAUCAAGACCACUGUCCCCUCCCCAGCAUCACCAGGAGGAUGAAUGGACAUUUCCCUCUCCCUGCCCUGGCUCUGCAGGUGGGAAGCACAUUAACAAGCAAUGCAGGUACUUACCCAAAGCCUAAGACAGAAAGAAAAACCUGAUCUUCCCAGCCUCUCAGGGCACUCUGUAUAUCUUCCUGGGCCAGAUGGUAAAUGCCUUUUACUAUCCCCAAUGGAGCCACAUUUCCAGCAGCACUCAAUACCUGUUAAGAUCCAUGAAAAAGAAAUCUAUUUUUCAUCUGCUUUGUACCUAGGCACCCCGUUAUUUUAUCACUAUGCACUUAAACAUCUGGCUUUAGAAUAUUAAUAUUCAGAUUUAAUCAAAUGUUAGAUUAAUUGUCAAAUUUUUCAGACACAUAAACUACAAUUUAUCACUUUCUCUGAAACUGGGGCCUGUAUAAUUAUAUUAUUGGAUUAGUAGUAGUAAGAUGACAUCACUUUGAGGAAGGUUUUCCUUCAAAUUAUGUGACAGAUAUCUACCAUAGUACACUAGGGAAAAAAAAAAAAAAAAAAAUUAGUUUUAGGCUUUUAUUUAGUUGUGCCAGGUUACAGCCCUUUGGGAGAGGCAUGGGUCUUUGCAGAGGAGAUCUUUAAUUCCUGAUUCAAACGCGUAAGAAUUUUCUUUCUUAACCAAAAGGAAAACAGAGGAAAAUCAGAUAAAAAUGCCAGUUUUCUUUAGCAAUGCCAACUAAAACCUUCCUGCAAUAUCAAGACAAUAAAUGAAGUUGCUGCUAUGCUCAGAAAAAUCAUCACCAAAUGCAUUUGCAGGCCCUUUAUGAGGGUGUUUGGACAUUUCCAUAGAAAGCCCUGGAUCUGGGCCCUUGACAAAGCAGUGACUGUAUUAGCAGUCAGCUGUAAAAUACAUUCUGAAGAGACCCAGAGCUCAGCCUGAAAGGUUUGGCAGUAGCAAUAUCCAGUAGACUAGUAGUCAUUAGUUCCAGAUGAUCUACUCUUCUGGACACAGCAGAGGUUCAUUUCAAACUAUUUUAAUUCAAGAGGUCUCCUCAUAAUGAAAAUGAAAAGCCUGAGGUGAGAGCCAUAGAUUUUAUGACUUAAUUUUUCAGUUUUUAUGGUGUCACAGCCAUGUCAACAUCACAAGUCUGUUAAUGUUUUAUAUUUCAUUGAGGAAUUAUUGUGGAGGACCCUUCUAGGCUGCAAGUGGCUGCCACCUAUAGACUCUUUGCCACAUCUUGCGUUCACAGACCUGGAAAUGCCACUUCAGUCACUUCAACAUGCUCAGAGGAUACCAAGAACUCUACUGCACAAGACUUUGGAUUUGUCUAAACAAACAGAAAGCAAGAAGCAUGCUUCAAAGCACUGAUGAAGCCCAAACACUGCCUGCGUGGAAAUUAAAUAACUUGUAAAAAUUACCAAAUUAUUUGUAUUCUAGAAUACAACACUUCGAACUAACACAGCACUUGUCCCGAAUGUCAGAAGGACAAUUGUUAAUUUGCCACUGGCUUUGAAUAAUAUAAACAGAAUGCCUUUGUGUCCCUCUAAAUUCUCAUAAUUUGCAUUACAUUUUCUUUAAUUUAGAAGUGUUUUUCAGACUCCAAGGAACUAAAUUCAAGCCCAGCAAAUUGACUCAGUUUUGCCAGUUAACAUUACAACCUCGUGUGGUUACCUCAAUUUUCAUCCCCAUUUGUUUCACAUAAAGUGAAAAUGUACACUGCUAACUCUGCAAAUCCUGCCAUACUGGAACCCAAGUUCUGUAAAUAAGCAACAGAACUUUUUAAUAAGAACACAGGAAAGUUAAUUAAUAAGAGGUCUUUUGGAAAACAUCUUAUGUUGCCCUUUUUAAAACCAACAUAGCGUAUUUAUGAACAAUAUUUUAUUUGAAGGUGUUUAUUAGAGAGACUACAUAUUUUACUGAAACCCUUUAAAGAAUUAGAAGAUAAAUACAAGUUCCCAAGCAGCCCUUUGAUUAAUUUGAAAGAAUACUUUAUACAGUAAAAUAUAAGCAUCACCUGAAAUAACCAACUAUACUGAUGGAUAGUGUAAAUUUAGACUAAUUGUGUAAUUGUCUAAAAAGUUGGUAUACAGAGAAACUAUUUAUUACAAAAUCAUUGCAAAAUGCCAAGCUAUAUUUGCACCAUCUGACAGCUAGGAGAGAAAAUGAACUGUGUUAUUAUUUAUUCUCCAGAAGUCACAAUGUUAUUAACCUUCCUGAAACUAUGAAUAUAAGUCUGUUUCAAACAAAAGCAUGUGUGACAAGUUUUCUUAGUGAAAACAUUGGUUCAACUGAGCAAAUUGGUUCAAAGAAGCAACAUCUUUAGUGUAGACUCUGUUUUUCUGCUACAAAGUGAAUUGAGUUGAAAUAGAAGCACCUGCUACACAUCUGUAAGUCCAGGUAUCUAUAAAAUCCUAGUUUCCCUUAACACACAAGAACAUGUACCUGUUUCCUAACCUACAUGUUAUUCUGACUGUCAGUAAAGACUUUAUUUAAGAGUACUCUGAAAAUCAUGGAGGCCAAAAGUAGUUUCAGAUAGUCUGACUGGAAAAGAAUGUUGCUCUUUUCCAAAACCUUAUUUUCUUUCCACAUGCUGCAGGAAAGGAGGAGGAUUUUGGUGAUAUUGGACCCUUUUGUUUUAUUCAAGAUGUCUUGGUACCCUCCUCUCACAAUUCCACUGUAAAUAUUUUAGCAUGUGGACCACAAAAAAAUAAACAUCCCCUCAGUGAGUACAUGAAAAUGGAGUGUGACUCCUUUUCCCCAUUUAACCAAUACAGAAAUAUCCCCCAUCUCCUUUGUAGUCUAAGUGAUGACAGGAACAGAACAAUAAGGUUUGCCAUUUUCCUUUCCUGCAGAAGACCCUUCCAGCCACAAAGUGAGGACUAAAUGAAGGAUAAAAACUCCUACUUAAAUGAAUUCAAGAGACCCACUAAAGUCUUGAGAUGCCUUUAGGAAUUAAGCUCAAAAUAUUUAAGAAGACAAUGUAACAUCUUUAUAAAUUAGUGGGAGUAAGUUAAUGCUGAAAUAUUUUAAAAUGUUUUUAGCUUCCCUUGUUUCAUCAACAAAUGUUAUUACAUUUUU